rnacentral:rRNA from 1 species
UCGCACGGGCGUAGCAAUACGUCAGUGGCGCACGGGUGAGUAAUGUAUCGCUAACGUGCCCCGGACACUGGGAUAGCCGGCCGAAAGGUCGGGUAAUACCAGAUGAGACCACAACCCCGCAUGGGGCGGUGCUCAAAGGAGUAAUCCGGUCUGGGAGCGGGCGAUAUCGUAUCAGCUAGUUGGUGGGGUAACGGCCCACCAAGGCGACGACGCGUAACCGGACUGAGAGGUCGGCCGGUCACAUCGGGACUGAGACACUGCCCGGACUCCUACGGGGGGCUGCAGUAACGAAUCUCCCCCAAUGCACGAAAGUGUGAGGGAGCGACGCCGCGUGGAGGAUCAAGUCCUUCGGGAUGUAAACUCCUGUCAGGGGUUACCAAGUUCUGAGGAGCCCCAGAGGAAGUGGCGGCUAACUCUGUGCCAGCAGCCGCGGUAAGACAGAGGCCACGAGCGUUA